rnacentral:hammerhead_ribozyme from 1 species
ACACUACUGAAGAGUCCCACACUAGGGCGAAACAGCCGUCCAGUAC